rnacentral:rRNA from 1 species
AGUUUGAUCAUGGCUCAGAAUGAAACCUGGCGGUGUGCCUAACACAUGCAAGUCAAACGACAAUUUAUUUGGAGUGGCGGACGGGUGAGUAACACGUAAGAACCUACCUUUAGGAGGGGGAUACCAUCCCGGGAAACUGGUGCUAAUACCCCAUAUGCUGAGAAGUGAAAUGGUAUUUAACCGCCUAGAGAGGGGCUUGCGGCUGAUUAGCUAGUUGGUGGGGUAAUGGCCUCCCAAGGCGACGAUCAGUAGCUGGUUUGAGAGGAUGAUCAGCCACACUGGGACUGAGACACGGCCCAGACUCCUACGGGAGGCAGCAGUGAGGAAUUUUCCGCAAUGGGCGAAAGCCUGACGGAGCAAUACCGCGUGGAGGAAAAAGAAGACCUGUGGGUUGUAAACUCCUUUUCUCAGAGAAGAAUACUGACGGUAUCUGAGGAAUAAGCACCGGCUAACUAUGUGCCAGCAGCCGCGGUAAUACAUGGGGUGCGAGGUUUAUUCGGAAUGAUUGGGCGUAAAGCGUUCGUA